AGAGUUGAUCAUGGCUCAGGAUGAACGCUGGCGGCGUGCUUAACACAUGCAAGUCGAGCGAAGCGCCCGAGUUGAUUCUCGGAUGAAACAAGGGAUGACUGAGCGGCGGACGGGUGAGUAACGCGUGGGUAACCUGCCUCAUACAGGGGGAUAACAGUUAGAAAUGACUGCUAAUACCGCAUAAGCGCACAGUACGGCAUCGUACAGUGUGAAAAACUCCGGUGGUAUGAGAUGGACCCGCGUCGGAUUAGCCAGUUGGCGGGGUAACGGCCCACCAAAGCGACGAUCCGUAGCCGGCCUGAGAGGGCGACCGGCCACAUUGGGACUGAGACACGGCCCAAACUCCUACGGGAGGCAGCAGUGGGGAAUAUUGCACAAUGGGGGAAACCCUGAUGCAAGCGACGCCGCGUGAGUGAUGAAGUAUUUCGGUACGUAAAGCUCUAUCAGCAGGGAAGAAGACGACGGUACCUGACUAAGAAGCCCCGGCUAACUACGUGCCAGCAGCCGC
rnacentral:rRNA from 1 species